rnacentral:rRNA from 1 species
GAUGAACGCUGGCGGCGUGCCUAAUACAUGCAAGUCGAGCGAACAGACGAGGAGCUUGCUCCUCUGACGUUAGCGGCGGACGGGUGAGUAACACGUGGAUAACCUACCUAUAAGACUGGGAUAACUUCGGGAAACCGGAGCUAAUACCGGAUAAUAUAUUGAACCGCAUGGUUCAAUAGUGAAAGACGGUUUUGCUGUCACUGAUAGAUGGAUCCGCGCCGCAUUAGCUAGUUGGUAAGGUAACGGCUUACCAAGGCAACGAUGCAUAGCCGACCUGAGAGGGUGAUCGGCCACACUGGAACUGAGACACGGUCCAGACUCCUACGGGAGGCAGCAGUAGGGACUCUUCCGCAAUGGGCGAAAGCCUGACGGAGCAACGCCGCGUGAGUGAUGAAGGUCUUCGGAUCGUAAAACUCUGUUAUUAGGGAAGAACAAAUGUGUAAGUAACUGUGCACGUCUUGACGGUACCUAAUCAGAAAGCCACGGCUAACUACGUG